UAAUACGUAGGGGGCAAGCGUUGUCCGGAAUUACUGGGCGUAAAGGGCGUGUAGGUGGGUAAUUAAGUCAUGGGUGAAAACUGCGAGCUCAACUUGCAGACUGCCUAUGAAACUGGAUAUCUUGAGGGCAGGAGAGGAAAGUGGAAUUCCUAGUGUAGCGGUGAAAUGCGUAGAUAUUAGGAGGAACACCAGUGGCGAAGGCGACUUUCUGGACUGUCCCUGACACUGAGGCGCGAAAGCUAGGGGAGCGAACGGGAUUAGAUACCCCGGUAGUCCUAGCCGUAAACGAUGGGUACUAGGUGUGGGAGGUAUCGACCCCUUCCGUGCCGGAGUUAACACAUUAAGUACCCCGCCUGGGGAGUACGGCCGCAAGGUUG
rnacentral:rRNA from 1 species